AUUGAACGCUGGCGGCAUGCCUUACACAUGCAAGUCGAACGGCAGCACGGGUGCUUGCACCUGGUGGCGAGUGGCGAACGGGUGAGUAAUACAUCGGAACGUACCUUAUCGUGGGGGAUAACGCAGCGAAAGCUGUGCUAAUACCGCAUACGCCCUGAGGGGGAAAGCGGGGGAGCGAAAGACCUCGCGCGAUUAGAGCGGCCGAUGCCUGAUUAGCUUGUUGGUGGGGUAAAAGCCCACCAAGGCGACGAUCAGUAGCUGGUCUGAGAGGACGAUCAGCCACACUGGGACUGAGACACGGCCCAGACUCCUACGGGAGGCAGCAGUGGGGAAUUUUGGACAAUGGGGGCAACCCUGAUCCAGCAAUGCCGCGUGAGUGAAGAAGGCCUUCGGGUUGUAAAGCUCUUUUGUCAGGGAAGAAACACCGGCUCUAACACAGUCCGGGAAUGACGGUACCUGAAGAAUAAGCACCGGCUAACUACGUGCCAGCAGCAGCCGCGG
rnacentral:rRNA from 1 species